AUCACCUGGGGAUCUUGGUAAAAUGCAGAUUCUGAUUCCCUACACCUAGAAGAAGGUUAAAGAUUCUGCAUUUCUAAAGAGUUCUCAGGUGGUGCUCA
rnacentral:pre_miRNA from 1 species